rnacentral:rRNA from 1 species
GACGUAGGGCGCAAGCGUUGUCCGGAUUUAUUGGGCGUAAAGAGCUCGUAGGCGGCUUGUCGCGUCGACUGUGAAAAACCACGACUCAACCGUGGGACUGCAGUCGAUACGGGCAGGCUAGAGUUCGGUAGGGGAGACUGGAAUUCCUGGUGUAGCGGUGAAAUGCGCAGAUAUCAGGAGGAACACCGGUGGCGUAGGCGGGUCUCUGGGCCGAUACUGACGCUGAGGAGCGAAAGCGUGGGGAGCGAACAGG